rnacentral:rRNA from 1 species
AUUGAACGCUGGCGGCAUGCCUUACACAUGCAAGUCGAACGGCAGCACGGGGCAACCUGGUGGCGAGUGGCGAACGGGUGAGUAAUGCAUCGGAACGUACCUUUCAGUGGGGAUAACGUAGCGAAAGUUACGCUAAUACCGCAUAUUCUGUGAGCAGGAAAGCAGGGGAUCGCAAGACCUUGCGCUGAUUGAGCGGCCGAUGUCAGAUUAGCUAGUUGGUGAGGUAAAGGCUCACCAAGGCGACGAUCUGUAGCGGGUCUGAGAGGAUGAUCCGCCACACUGGAACUGAGACACGGGCCAGACUCCUACGGGAGGCAGCAGUGGGGAAUUUUGGACAAUGGGGGCAACCCUGAUCCAGCCAUGCCGCGUGAGUGAAGAAGGCCUUCGGGUUGUAAAGCUCUUUCGGCCGGGAAGAAAUCGCACGGGCUAAUACCCUGUGUGGAUGACGGUACCGGAAUAAGAAGCACCUGCUAACUACGUGCCAGCAGCCGCGGUAAGAC